UUGAUAUGAUAACUUGUCUAGAGACUAGGGUAAAACAGCAGAAUGCAAUGGCAGUUUAUAAAAAACUGGGAGAUGACUGGACUGUAGGGAAUAACUAUUUACAUGCCCCCAAUGGCAGAAUAUGGGUACUGUGGAAAGAAGCAAAUGUCCAAGUGACAAUACUGGAGAGCACUGAUCAGACAAUUCAGUGUCAAGUAAAGGACAGACAUUUAACAUUCACUAGCUUUGUCACAUUUGUAUAUGGUCUUCACACCACUCAACAAAGGGCAACACUCUGGAGGAGCUUAAGAGCUGUUCAGCAAACUGGGCCUUGGCUAAUAGUAGGAUGUAGGGAAUAACUAUUUAUAUGCCACCAAUGGCAGAAUAUGGGUACUGUGGAAAGAAGCAAAUGUCCAAGUGAAAAUACUGGAGAGCACUGAUCAGACAAUUCACUGUCAAGUAAAGGACAGACAUUCAACAUUCACUAGCUUUGUCACAUUUGUAUAUGGUCUUCACACCACUCAACAAAGGGCAACACUCUGGAGGAGCUUGAGAGCUGUUCAGCAAACUGGGCCUUGGCUAAUAGUAGGGGAUUUCAAUAGUCCUUUGGGAGUUGAAGACAGAAUCAAUGGACAGCCAGUACACCAUUCUGAAAUUGCAGACUUUCAAGGGUGUAUUGAUGACAUAGGAGUAGGGCAGAUUACCAAAAGGGGAAACUCUUUCUUAUGGAGUAAUAAAAGGGAUGCUACUGACAGAAUAUAUAGCCACAUUGAUUGGGCUUUUGGCAAUGCCAAUGGUUUAACAUGUACACAGGAGUGGAAGCAGUUUAUAUGCUGCCCACAAUCUCAGAUCACACCCCAAUUUUGAUAGAGACUGACAUUGUUAAAGCUAAAGUGAAGAGACCAUAUAGGCUGCUGCACACAGUUAUGUAACAAACUGAGUACCAGGAAAUAGUUCAGAGAAUUUGGGAUCAACACAUACAGGGACACACC
rnacentral:lncRNA from 1 species